CCGUAAAAUAGAUCUAAUUUUUUUCUUUUUACGAGUUUUCAAGGGUUUUUACAAAAUUUACUGAAUAUAAAAUUUCAAUAUAGUGUAUACUAUUAUAUAGAAUCAAAUUUCUAUUUGUGAUCUGCUGUCAGAAUCCAGACGCAGAUCAGUAAAUGUUCAUUGCUCUUCUCAAAAAAACUAAAAUCUUAUACGCGCACAAGACCAAGAAGAGUCGUGUCCAUUUCAAACGUUAUCUUGAUUUAAAACUCACCUACACCCCGAGUAUAUAGUAUUCGAGAGAAUAUAGUAUUCGCCAGUCAUAUUAUACAAUGAUCACCAAAAAAGUCACAUAAUUUCUAUAAUAAAUAAGAUAACAUGUGUAUAUCCGGGUUGUGGCAGUAGUUUGAAAAAUUAUCUUUGAUAAAGUUAAGGAUCCAUAUGAUGAUGUUUAGAAGCUUUUACUUCUGUUAAGAGGAAUGUGUUGUAUAAUUAGUUCACCAGCAUUAAGUUUCAAUCAGGUAGCAAUUUUAUCGAAUAUUGUAUCUUAUUAUAUACAUUCAAGAACCACGUGUUUUACAGAACCGCUAAGACUAAAGCACGAAUUCCUUAUGCACUAUCAAAAAUCGUUUUACGAAUUCGGGACAUUAAAACACGUUUGGACGCUUAGAUUCGAAUCAAAGCAUAGCUAUUUUCGCAGUAUUGUAGAAAGCUUGAGGAAUUUUGAAAAAUUGCAUAUGACUUUAACCGAAAAGCAUGAACACAUAUAUUACUAGCUUGCCAAAUAAAACUGAAAUUUCUUCAUUAAUAAAUGAUUAUAUUUCAAACAAUUCAAAGACAAUGUUAUACAUCGCAAAGACUGUUACUUUUUGUAAUGUACAAUAUUCCGAAAAUAUCUGUAUAUGCAUAGGUAAAAAUACGUUUGGGAACUUUGUAAUCUGUAACAUAAAAUAUAUAUUAAUUAAUGAUAAAUUCAAAUACAAAUUCAAUUGUGUUGGGAGAACUGAUGAGAUUAUUUCCUUCGAAGAGUUAGGAGUUUAUGAGAAAGUAGAAUACAAAGGUUCAGAAAAUAGAUCCCGAUGGCUUAGUAUUUUUCCAUACUCCUACCUUUUAUCACUUGAUCCUUUACCAACAUAUAAUUUGAGAUCCUAUCCUAUUUACUUAAUAAAAUAUUUGCCAUUUGAUCCGAUGGCUUAAAAAAUAGUGAGUAUAGAUUGUCUAUUAAGCAAUAUGUGAUUGCAAUUUUAAGUUAAACUAUUGUUUUGUUACAAAAUGCGCAAAACUAUAAUUCUUCAUCGUUUCAUGCAUGUUUCUCAGGUAUAUGUAAUCAUAUCAUACAUAUAAUAAUGUAUGUAGAAACAUAUACUUUUUUAUUAAUUUACACACAGCUUCUUUAUUUAUUUUUCAUUAAUGCUUCGAAUUCUAUCAAUGGUUCAAAAGAAAAAAAGAAUCACUUUAACAAAAUAAAUAUUAUUACAUAAAAGUUGUCUACUUAAUUUAUUUAUAAUUAAUUAUUGUUUCUCAUAUCAGAUGCUGCCAAUAAAAGUUUGUAUCCGCGAUCGGGUACGCCGAUCUGCUGUCCUUGUAAAGAAGAAGUCGGAUACAUUAGUCAGCGAUGUCAUUUCCGCAGCCAGUAAAAAAUUCCAGAUACCUGGCUAUUCUUUAGUAUUAGAAGAAGACGGAAUUGAUAUUGAUGACAAUUUUCUAGUAAUAGAAUGGAAGGACAAGCUAUUUAUGCUUCUACAGGAAAACGAAAGUUGGUUUCCAAGCAAACGUACAUCGAGUGAAUGGAAAUCUUCUUCCCAAGAAAACGAAUCUCUUAAUAUUGCAACAGUGUUCCAGAAACGAAUGUACUUCAUCAGAUGAGAAAAGUGUCGAAAGUAGUAAAAAUGAUGCUCCAGACAAGAAGCGACAAAAAAUAUCACACAAUACAGAUUGGGAAACCGUUGAAGUUCCAUGGAGUAGAUUCGAUUCUAAUUCGCUGUUUUGUUUCUCAAAUAAUUGGGUUGGUCUCAAGAAAAAAGUGCAAGAUUCCUUAACCACACGAGCUGUUCAUUACGUUGUGGAUCACGUACAUGAAACCACAGAUCAUGCUCCAGCAGCUGCAUUUCGAUCGCUAGCAAGAAAAAUGUGCUAAUGUCUUCGAGGAUGAAUUGUCUGGUGGAACUCAAAAAGGCACAGGAUUCGCUACUCUUGAAAGUAAAUUAAUUCAAAGAAAUAGAUACCUGAAUCAUCCGCACAUGACAAAUAGUCUGCAACGCACCUUAAAGCUUCCUUUAAAAGAUUCCAGAAAAUACAAAGCAGUUCAAUCUGGUUGGUUAUUACAGUUCAAUCUGGUGGUUGUUCAAUGGUAACCAAAUUUUCAAGAAGGGCACAAUGAAAGCACAACUGAGGUGUUGAGAGUGCAGUUUAUAAAUUUUUAUCCUGUUGAGCUUCUAGACGAAAACCAAUUUUCCGAAUGUGUCAACAAUUUCGAUGCUUGUUUCGCAUUACAAAGGCUGCACUUGAAUAAUAAAGAACAUCCAACUGCAGGAACUAUUAAAGAGCAGUGGCCAUGUUUAUUUUCGUACGAAUAUGCAGAUAUUCAUUUUCAGUUGCUUAAUGGAAAACAAACAGAUAAAUUUAACGACCGUUUUGAUGAAUAUACUGAAAAAAUUUUAAUACAUGGUCAUAUAGCAACUGAUGCAGUCGUAACUGAUCAUUUCAGAAAUUGAAGCGUCAUAAAUAUAAUUUUUAACUAUUUUGGUGAAGACUAUGCUAAUCUUUUUACUGUUGUAGAGACAGACUUUCCCAUUGAGAAUGUUGCAACAAAAAAUCAUUCUCACAUUAUUGUUUUUGGCGUCUUACCAAAAGAUGAUGACACCGAUACUGAUCAUGCCAAAACUUAUUGCGUUGUGGUCGAUGGUAUAGCUUUUCCAAAGACUCAAUGUCUGCUCAAUUCAUGCUCUUAAAUAUUUAGUUGUGGCAUUUUUCAAUUUUAAUCACACGUAUCAAAAUGCAUUUGCACAUUUUAUGGAAUUUAUUCAGAGAUGUUUUAUGGAAAUUUAUCCCAUAGAAGCUAAUAGAAGUAAUGCACGAGUUAUAAAAAAAGUUGAAACUUUUAUAAAAAAAAACUACAGCAAUAGAAAUACAAGAAAUCGUUUAGAGACUCUAAUUAUUUGAACAGUAAAGUAGCUUAUUUGCUUGCGAACAGUAUUUGACAAACAGUCAUAAAUAAAUACUCUCUAAAUCUAAAAUACUGCAAAUUUUCUAAAUCAGAUACACUGUUUUUGCAACUGUUUCGAACUGUCAGAUUUAGAGAGUAUGAUUGCGAUAUACCAACUAUUUUUAAUAAUAGCUUCAAUACUUGAAGUAUCGUUUAUGUUCCUCUGUAUUUUUGUACUUAAUACAUGU
rnacentral:lncRNA from 1 species